GCGUGGGGACACAAUCUGCUUUGAAACCCAGGGGCCUGUUAACGACUGUCUUGGAGUUCACAAUGCCCAGUGGGCGUGUGUGGCACAUCCUGACCUUCCCUCACCCAGAUCUGUGAUCUGGACCCAGACCAAGGGUUAUCUAGAUAUCUGGGUUGAUGUAGAGUUGAUGCCACAGGCCUCAGUAUUUUUCGAGAAUUUUGGGUGUGUUUGCUUUCCAAAUGGCUGUGUAACAAAUUAUCGCAAAUUUAGUGGCUUAAAACAAUACACAUUAUUAUCUCAUACAUUCCAGGUCUGGAGCCCCAACCCAGUCAGUUGAAUCCUUUGCUCUGAGUCUCAGAAGGCUGCAGUCAAGGUAUCAGCAAGGCUGCAUCCUCAUCUGGAGACUCAACUGGGGAAGAAUCCACUUGCAAGCCCACUCAGGUUUUGUUGGCAGAACUUAUUUCCUUAGACUCUGUGACUCAGGGCCUGAGAUUUUUGCUGGCUGUCAGCUGGAGGCUUCCCUCAGGUUCCAGAGGCCAUCUGCAGUUCCUAGAGAUUCCCACAGUUCCUUGCCAUGUGGGUUUCUCCAACAUGGCUGCUUAUUUCAUCAGGCCCACAAGGAGAGUCUGACUCCAGUGUGCUAAGUCAGAGUUUCACAUAAUGUAACUUAUUAUGUAUGUAGCAGGAAUGACGUCGCGUCACCUUUGCCAUAUUCUAUAGGUGAGAAGAAAGUCGCAGGUCCCACUCGAACUCAAAAAGAGAGAAUCACAAAAAGAUGUGAAUAGCAGGAGGCAGGAAUCACUAGGGGUUACCUUAGGGUCUGUCCACAACACUGGAGUUACUGGAAAACCUAAGGAAAAGUAUAGGAAAAGGGAGAGCUGGAGACGAGCAUAGGAGAGAGUAAAAAAGAGAGUCAAAAUACACGAUGCAGAGGGGUGGAAAGGUAACAACAGUGACCUCAAGGAUCACUAAUUGUUACACAUGCCAGAGGCUGCCCAGCCAUGCCUUUGGUGCCAAAGAUCCUGGGUCUGAUGAGCCCCACCUUGGAGUGAACCAUGUUGUGGGCUUCUUCCCCUCUUGCUCCUUGGCUGUAGAACAAAGUUAAAAACUGGACAUACUGGUUUCAGUAAAGAGUCCUGCUGUCCCACCCAACUGGGUUCUUUUGCAGCCCUACACCUUUGCCUGCUCCUUGUCACUUUCCAGAAACUCAAACUAUCCUGCUUGAUUUCAGCCUUCCUCCUCUCUACCUCAUAAUCUCCCCCAUUUGCAUGGAUCCUUUCCUUUCGUCUUAAAGACGUGGGCUUCCUUCUGCCCAUGGCCAGGCCUCCACUCAUGCCCACUCAUGUCGCUCUCCGUUCAUACAGACUGCAAACACACACUCUAUUCUCCUCUAUCAAUUAAAAGGCAAAAUGAAACUAAAAUAUCAAUAACAGAAACAGCAUUCCCUCCUCGUUCUAGAGUCAGGUUUAUCUUUUUCUCUCUCAUUUAAAGAGUAGCUACCACUUGCAUACCACCCAUUCAUUUGACUUUUUUCAGUUUAGCCUCUGUUGACAUCACUCCUCUAAAACCUCUAUCUUGGGGCACCUGGCUGGGUCAGUCCGUACAGCAUGUGACUCUUGGUCUUUGGGUUGUAAGUUCAAGCCCCACACUGGGUGUAGAGAUUACUUAAAAAUAAAAUCUAAGGGGCGCCUGGGUGGCUCAGUCGGUUAAGCAUCUGACUUUGGCUCAGGCCAUGAUCUCAUGGUUUGUGGGUUCAAGCCCCGCAUCAGGCUCUGCACUACAGUGCCGGAGCCUGCUUGGGAUUCUCUCUCCCUCCCCUGCUCUCUCUCAAAAUAAAUAAAUAAACUUAAAAAAAAAAAAAACCCUUCUAUCUUAAAUGUCACUAAUGACCCAUUUAGUGUGGCAUAAACUACUCAUUCUCACCAAUACCCACAGUUCCCAGCCUCUCUUACAGAUGGGUGUGGCCAAGUGACUGAAUUCUAGCUAAUGGAAUGUGAGUGGAAGUGACAAGCUGGCUCACAGAAGUCCCAAGUGCUGAUCUUUGCUCCCUUCCCAUCUGCUAGUAGAAUGGAGGAGACUCUGAGAGUCAAACUAGAUGUCCUCAUUCCAAGUUUCAGGGUCCCAGUCCUUCUCAAUCACCAGAAAGAUUUAAUAAGACUGAAUUCAACUGAUGUAAUUGUGCAACAUGCACAAUAUUUUUUUUAUGUUUUAUUUAUUUUUGACAGAGAGACAGACAGACAGACAGACAGCAUGAGUGGGGUAAGGGCAGAGAGAGAGGGAGACCCAGAAUUCAAAGCAGGCUCCAGGCUCUGAGCUGUCAGCACAGAGCCCGACGCGGGGCCUGAACUCAGACUGCGAGAUCAUGACCUGAGCUGAAGUCAGACGCUCAACCGACUGAGCCACCCAGGCGCCCCAACAUGCACAAUAUUUUGUUCUAUUUGUAGCAGAUAAGUCUGGGGGCUAGAAGAAAUAAGACAUUGUUUUAUGGUUAUCCUGGAAACUCUCUGAUUCUCUGACUGUGACUUAGACGGAGAGUUUAAAGAUCCAACCUUGUCAUUUUCUUUCUGCAAGAACUCUGAUGCAUUCAGAAGCAUUCCUGUAGUCAUCAUCACUGCCAUAACAGUCAAGUGGAACAAUCACUUGGGCCCCCAAGGCACUUGCUUUAGUUGGCACUCCAUCACAAAUAACCACAGGAAGUAGACUGUGAAACCUGCACAUUCUCCAAGGAGCUCAUACUGCCCAAAGCCCAUCUCAGAUGCGGCCCUAAAGGAUAAUCAAUGAGCCAGAGGGCACAGCCAGGAGGCAUGGAGAACAAUGGACAAAGAAGUCCCUCCUGGAACAAACCAGUGUCUAAUCAAGGAGUGUUUCCAGCCCCAGGGAAGAGGACUUUGAUAAUCUGACCAGUGGAGAUUCAGAACUGCUUUGGAUCAGAGACUGUGACACAUCUUCAAUUCUUUCCUUUUCUAAAUAGAUAUUUCUAUGGACGU